CGCCGGGGAUAACAGGCUGAUGACGCCCAAGAGUCCAUAUCGACGGCGUCGUUUGGCACCUCGAUGUCGGCUCAUCGCAUCCUGGGGCUGGAGCAGGUCCCAAGGGUAUGGCUGUUCGCCAUUUAAAGCGGUACGUGAGCUGGGUUCAGAACGUCGCGAGACAGUUCGGUCCCUAUCUGCCGUGGGUGUAGGAGUAUUGAGAGGAGCCGUCCUUAGUACGAGAGGACCGGGAUGGACGCACCUCUGGUGGACCUGUUGUCGCGCCAGCGGCACAGCAGGGUAGCUAUGUGCGGACGAGAUAACCGCUGAAGGCAUCUAAGCGGGAAACUCACCUCAAAACCAGUACUCCCUUGAGAGCCGUGGAAGACCACCACGUUGAUAGGCCGGGCGUGUAAGCGCAGCAAUGCGUUGAGCUUACCGGUACUAAUAGCUCGAUCGAACUUCGAUCGCUCUCAUUAU
rnacentral:rRNA from 1 species